rnacentral:rRNA from 1 species
GAUGAACGCUGGCGGCGUGCCUAAUACAUGCAAGUCGAGCGAACAGACGAGGAGCUUGCUCCUCUGACGUUAGCGGCGGAAGGGUGAGUAACACGUGGAUAACCUACCUAUAAGACUGGGAUAACUUCGGGAAACCGGAGCUAAUACCGGAUAAUAUAUUGAACCGCAUGGUUCAAUAGUGAAAGACGGUUUUGCUGUCACUUAUAGAUGGAUCCGCGCCGCAUUAGCUAGUUGGUAAGGUAACGGCUUACCAAGGCAACGAUGCGUAGCCGACCUGAGAGGGUGAUCGGCCACACGGGAACUGAGACACGGUCCAGACUCCUACGGGAGGCAGCAGUAGGGAAUCUUGCGCAAUGGGCGAAGGCCUGACGGAGCCACGCCGCGUGAGUGAUGAAGGUCUUCGGAUCGUAAAACUCUGUUAUUAGGGAAGAACAAAUGUGUAAGUAACUAUGCACGUCUUGACGGUACCUAAUCAGAAAGCCACGGCUAACUACGUG